GACGAACGCUGGCGGCGUGCUUAACACAUGCAAGUCGAACGGAAAGGCCCUGCUUGCAGGGUACUCGAGUGGCGAACGGGUGAGUAACACGUGGGUGAUCUGCCCUGCACUUCGGGAUAAGCCUGGGAAACUGGGUCUAAUACCGGAUAGGAGCCAUUCUUAGUGUGAUGGUUGGAAAGUUUUUUCGGUGUAGGAUGAGCUCGCGGCCUAUCAGCUUGUUGGUGGGGUAAUGGCCUACCAAGGCGGCGACGGGUAGCCGGCCUGAGAGGGUGGACGGCCACAUUGGGACUGGGGUAAGGCCCAGGACCCCACGGGGGGCAGCAGUGGGGGAUAUUGGACAAUGGGGGCGAGCCUGAUGCAGCGAAGCCGGGGGGGGGAAGACGGGCUUCGGGUUGUAAACUCCUUUCGCUAGGGGAGAAGCUUUUUGUGACGGUACCUGGAUAAGAAGCACCGGCUAACUACGUG
rnacentral:rRNA from 1 species